GGAGAAGUGGCAGAUAGGGAUGUGUUUAGCUUGAAACUAAAAGGAUGAAGGUUCGAAUCCUUCUUUCUCUU
rnacentral:tRNA from 1 species